rnacentral:tRNA from 1 species
GGAUGGAGCAGUUCGGUAGCUCGCCUGCCUGUCACGCAGGAGAUCGCGGGUUCGAUUCCCGUCGAGACCGCCA